rnacentral:rRNA from 1 species
UACGUAGGGGGCUAGCGUUGUCCGGAUUUAUUGGGCGUAAAGAGCGUGUAGGCGGCCAGAUAGGUCUGCUGUGAAAACUCGAGGCUCAACCUCGAGACGUCGGCGGAAACCAUCUGGCUAGAGUCCGGAAGAGGAGAGUGGAAUUCCUGGUGUAGCGGUGAAAUGCGCAGAUAUCAGGAGGAACACCGGUGGCGAAGGCGGCUUGCUGGGCCUUACCUGACGCUGAGGAGCGAAAGCGUGGGGAGCGAACAGG